rnacentral:tRNA from 1 species
UGGGCUGUAGCUCAGUAGGUAGAGCGCCGGGCCGUAAACUCGGAGGUCGCAGGUUCGAGCCCUGUCCGGCCCAGCCA